rnacentral:rRNA from 1 species
UGACCUGGCGGCGGCCUACACAUGCAAGUCGAGCGGUUGACGGGAGCUUGCUCCCUGAUUCAGCGGCGGACGGGUGAGUAAUGCCUAGGAAUCUGCCUAUUAGUGGGGGACAACGUUUCGAAAGGAACGCUAAUACCGCAUACGUCCUACGGGAGAAAGCAGGGGACCUUCGGGCCUUGCGCUAAUAGAUGAGCCUAGGUCGGAUUAGCUAGUUGGUGGGGUAAUGGCUCACCAAGGCGACGAUCCGUAACUGGUCUGAGAGGAUGAUCAGUCACACUGGAACUGAGACACGGUCCAGACUCCUACGGGAGGCAGCAGUGGGGAAUAUUGGACAAUGGGCGAAAGCCUGAUCCAGCCAUGCCGCGUGUGUGAAGAAGGACUUCGGAUUGUAAAGCACUUUAAGUUGGGAGGAAGGGCAGUAAAUUAAUACUUUGCUGUUUUGACGUUACCGACAGAAUAAGCACCGGCUAACUCUGUGCCAGCAGCCGCGGUAAU